GUGCCAGCAGCCGCGGUAAUACGUAGGGUGCGAGCGUUAAUCGGAAUUACUGGGCGUAAAGCGUGCGCAGGCUGUUUUGUAAGUCAGAUGUGAAAUCCCUGGGCUCAACCUAGGAACUGCGUUUGAAACUACAAGGCUAGAGUGUAGCAGAGGGGGGUAGAAUUCCACGUGUAGCAGUGAAAUGCGUAGAGAUGUGGAGGAAUACCAAUGGCGAAGGCAGCCCCCUGGGUUAACACUGACGCUCAUGCACGAAAGCGUGGGGAGCAAACAGGAUUAGAAACCCUGGUAGUCC
rnacentral:rRNA from 1 species